GACGAACGCUGGCGGCGUGCCUAAUACAUGCAAGUUGAGCGCUGAAGGUUGGUACUUGUACCAACUGGAUGAGCAGCGAACGGGUGAGUAACGCGUGGGGAAUCUGCCUUUGAGCGGGGGACAACAUUUGGAAACGAAUGCUAAUACCGCAUAAAAACUUUAAACACAAGUUUUAAGUUUGAAAGAUGCAAUUGCAUCACUCAAAGAUGAUCCCGCGUUGUAUUAGCUAGUUGGUGAGGUAAAGGCUCACCAAGGCGAUGAUACAUAGCCGACCUGAGAGGGUGAUCGGCCACAUUGGGACUGAGACACGGCCCAAACUCCUACGGGAGGCAGCAGUAGGGAAUCUUCGGCAAUGGACGAAAGUCUGACCGAGCAACGCCGCGUGAGUGAAGAAGGUUCUCGGAUCGUAAAACUCUGUUGGUAGAGAAGAACGUUGGUGAGAGUGGAAAGCUCAUCAAGUGACGGUAACUACCCAGAAAGGGACGGCUAACUACGUG
rnacentral:rRNA from 1 species